UAUUCUUGUGAUUAGAUUUUGUAUUACACAGUCUGCACCCUCCUGUUUAAGAAUCUGAAAACAGGCAUUUUCUGGUUUACAUUGAAACACAGGAGUCUUGAAUAUCUCUUCAGCUGCUUCCUAAUGUUUGUUCCACAGGAAGGGAGUUAGUUCGUAGCACAGUGUGCUUUAUUGUAUCUGCAUCAGCAGAGCAGAUAAGCUCAGCCUCUCUUCAUCUGAAAAAGGAACAGAGGAGUAGCACCAGGAGACAGUGCAAUACUUCAGGAUAUUGUGAAGAUUUCAAGCAAUAAGACAACUUUCAGGGCCCUCUUGGAUUGCUUCUGUCUAGCUGUAUCCAGCCAUUGCAGCAAUCCAGCUGUGUGAGUGUGAUUUGCCUCUUAAUCUGAGAUUUCAAAAAUCAGACUCCAUCUGCUGAAGAAUUCAAAGAUCUUGGAUUUGAGAGGCUAUUUAUGAACAUCAAACUGUGGUCCAUUUCUCCCAGGAGUAUCGUGCAGCUGCACAACUGCAGCUCUUCAACAGCAGGGGAAGUAUGAGAUAUCCACAGACACCAGUAAAAAACCGGGCACAUGAAGGCCACACAAGGUACACAGAGCCAAGAGUCACCAGCACCGCCAGGGGAAAGGGUUUUUAUGCUCAUUGUGGAACACUCUGAGAAAAUGGAAAUUCCGAUGUGCACAGGGUGCAAGUUGUUUGGCCCAGCUCAGAUUUGUGCAUCACAUCAGUGCUGGUGAGGACUGUGCUCAGGCAGUGCCAUGUGAGGCUGUAGAGAAUUCCUUCUCAGAGAAUGGAUUUCCUCACUACUG